UCUUGAGAAUUUUCUGUUCCAAGAAUUAUGUUGUUGUGUAGUUUAAAAUUAAUUUAUUUAAUUUUAAUGAUGUGUAGAUUGUUAUGGAGACUUUCCCCUCCCUUUUUGACGAAAAAUGUGAUAACUGCAGAAGCCUGAGGAAGGAAAUAAACAUUUCCGAAACGUCGCUGAAUGCAAACAAUUGCAUUUUUAAUCAUCCCCCGCUGACCGAAUUCCGAACAAUUUUCCUACAAUUUGCACGGUCGUAAAUCUUGUCUACAAGUUUUAUUCGGAUUAAAAACACAACUUCUCCAAAGGGACGCAUUCUACACGAAGUUUUCAAGUUUUGACACGACUUGCAGCUUUAAUUCUGGGCGGAUAUUUUCAUUCUACUGGAUUUUCUUCACCGAUUACAAAAGAUGUUUUUUCCGCGCGCAUUUGGUGCAUCUUAUUUGGUGGAACCUUCUAGAAGCGCAUCCACAAAACGGCAAUUGUUCUUCAACUUGCACACACAGCAGUGAUUCGUCAACUUUCACACACACACACAUACACGCGUGCUGUUCCAGCUGAUGAAACGGUUUGGUGUUGCGUUGGGGGGGCUGAUCGCUCGCUCAUCUUUCUACGCCGGCUCAGUUGGAUAUUGGACGUUUUCAGCGAUUAAGUGUUUUUGAGCUCUUGAGAAUUUUCUGUUCCAAGAAUUAUGUUGUUGUGUAGUUUAAAAUUAAUUUAUUUAAUUUUAAUGAUGUGUAGAUUGUUAUGGAGACUUUCCCCUCCCUUUUUGACGAAAAAUGUGAUAACUGCAGAAGCCUGAGGAAGGAAAUAAACAUUUCCGAAACGUCGCUGAAUGCAAACAAUUGCAUUUUUAAUCAUCCCCCGCUGACCGAAUUCCGAACAAUUUUC